CGGGUGGUAAUGCCGGAUGCUCCAUCACACCGCAUGGUGUUUGGGAAAGCCUUUGCGGCAUGGGAUGGGGUCGCGUCCUAUCAGCUUGAUGGCGGGGUAACGGCCCACCAUGGCUUCGACGGGUAGCCGGCCUGAGAGGGCGACCGGCCACAUUGGGACUGAGAUACGGCCCAGACUCCUACGGGAGGCAGCAGUGGGGAAUAUUGCACAAUGGGCGCAAGCCUGAUGCAGCGACGCCGCGUGAGGGAUGGAGGCCUUCGGGUUGUAAACCUCUUUUGUUAGGGAGCAAGGCAUUUUGUGUUGAGUGUACCUUUCGAAUAAGCACCGGCUAACUACGUGCCAGCAGCCGCGGUAAUACGUAGGGUGCAAGCGUUAUCCGGAAUUAUUGGGCGUAAAGGGCUCGUAGGCGGUUCGUCGCGUCCGGUGUGAAAGUCCAUCGCUUAACGGUGGAUCCGCGCCGGGUACGGGCGGGCUUGAGUGCGGUAGGGGAGACUGGAAUUCCCGGUGUAACGGUGGAAUGUGUAGAUAUCGG
rnacentral:rRNA from 1 species